rnacentral:rRNA from 1 species
GAUGAACGCUGGCGGCGUGCCUAAUACAUGCAAGUCGAGCGAACAGAUGAGGAGCUUGCUCCUCUGACGUUAGCGGCGGACGGGUGAGUAACACGUGGAUAACCUACCUAUAAGACUGGGAUAACUUCGGGAAACCGGAGCUAAUACCGGAUAAUAUAUUGAACCGCAUGGUUCAAUAGUGAAAGACGGUUUUGCUGUCACUUAUAGAUGGAUCCGCGCCGCAUUAGCUAGUUGGUAAGGUAACGGCUUACCAAGGCAACGAUGCGUAGCCGACCUGAGAGGGGGAUCGGCCACACUGGAACUGAGACACGGUCAAGACUCCUCCGGGAGGCAGCAGUAGGGAAUCUUCCGCAAUGGGCGAAAGCCUGCCGGAGCAACGCGGCGUGAGUGAUGAAGGUCUUCGGAUCGUAAAACUCUGUUAUUAGGGAAGAACAAAUGUGUAAGUAACUAUGCACGUCUUGACGGUACCUAAUCAGAAAGCCACGGCUAACUACGUG